AUUGAACGCUGGCGGCAUGCUUUACGCAUGCAAGUCGAACGGUAACAGGCCGCAAGGUGCUGACGAGUGGCGCACGGGUGAGUAAUGCAUCGGAACGUGCCCAGUCGUGGGGGAUAACUACUCGAAAGAGUAGCUAAUACCGCAUACGAUCUAUGGAUGAAAGCGGGGGACCGUAAGGCCUCGCGCGAUUGGAGCGGCCGAUGUCAGAUUAGGUAGUUGGUGGGGUAAAGGCUCACCAAGCCAACGAUCUGUAGCUGGUCUGAGAGGACGACCAGCCACACUGGGUCUGAGACACGGCCCAGACUCCUACGGGAGGCAGCAGUGGGGAAUUUUGGACAAUGGGCGCAAGCCUGAUCCAGCAAUGCCGCGUGCAGGAAGAAGGCCUUCGGGUUGUAAACUGCUUUUGUACGGAACGAAACGGCUCUGGUUAAUACCCGGGGCUAAUGACGGUACCGUAAGAAUAAGCACCGGCUAACUACGUG
rnacentral:rRNA from 1 species